rnacentral:rRNA from 1 species
UACGUAGGUGGCAAGCGUUGUCCGGAUUUACUGGGCGUAAAGAGCGCGCAGGCGGUCGUUCAAGUCGCGUGUGAAAGCCCCCGGCUCAACUGGGGAGGGUCACGCGAUACUGAUCGACUCGAAGGCAGGAGAGGGUAGUGGAAUUCCCGGUGUAGUGGUGAAAUGCGUAGAUAUCGGGAGGAACACCAGUGGCGAAGGCGGCCAUCUGGUCUAACACUGACACUGAGACACGAAAGCGUGGGGAGCAAACAGG